AUAUACGUACAUUANCCGCCCGGGAACUACAACGCGCCAGUUCACAAACCCAAAGGACUUGGCGGUACUUCAGACCCACCUAGAGGAGCCNCNNCUAGAAUCGNUCUCNCCGUUUGACACCUCACCAUCUCNGGCCAAUAUCCGCCUGUAUACCGCGUCGUCAGCUACCUUGAGAUCAUAGUGACAGGAGGCAUCGCCCGAACGGCAGGUCAAGGUGCAGCGCAUGAGGUGGAAAGAAAUGGGCUACAUUCUCUACCCCAGAGAAUUUGACGGAGGGUGCAAUGAAAUAGGCACCCGAAGGUGGAUUUAGCAGUAAGAAGGAAAAACGCCU
rnacentral:rRNA from 1 species